GACGAACGCUGGCGGCGUGCUUAACACAUGCAAGUCGAACGGUGAAGCGCCUUCCUUUUUGGUGGGUGUGGAUGAGUGGCGAACGGGUGAGUAACACGUGAGUAACCUGCCCCCUUCUUCUGGAUAACCGCAUGAAAGUGUGGCUAAUACGGGAUAUUCUGGGUCUGUCGCAUGAUGGGUCUGGGAAAGAUAUUGUUUCGGUGGGGGAUGGGCUCGCGGCCUAUCAGCUUGUUGGUGGGGUGAUGGCCUACCAAGGCGGUGACGGGUAGCCGGCCUGAGAGGGUGGACGGUCACACUGGGACUGAGACACGGCCCAGACUCCUACGGGAGGCAGCAGUGGGGAAUAUUGCACAAUGGGCGCAAGCCUGAUGCAGCGACGCCGCGUGAGGGAUGGAGGCCUUCGGGUUAUGAACCUCUUUCGCCAGUGAAGCAGGCCUGCCUCGUUUGUGGGUGGGUUGACGGUAGCUGGAUAAGAAGCGCCGGCUAACUACGUG
rnacentral:rRNA from 1 species